AGCGAACGCUGGCGGCAGGCCUAACACAUGCAAGUCGAACGAACCUUUCGGGGUUAGUGGCGGACGGGUGAGUAACACGUGGGAACGUGCCUUUAGGUUCGGAAUAACUCAGGGAAACUUGUGCUAAUACCGAAUGUGCCCUUCGGGGGAAAGAUUAAUCGCCUUUAGAGCGGCCGGCGUCUGAUUAGCUGGUUGGUUGAGGUAAUGGCUCACCAAGGCGACGAUCAGUAGCUGGUCUGAGAGGAUGAUCAGCCACGUUGGGACUGAGACACGGCCCAAAAUCCUACGGGAGGCAGCAGUGGGGAAUCUUGCGCAAUGGGCGAAAGCCUGACGCAGCCAUGCCGGGUGAAUGAUGAAGGUCGUAGGAUUGUAAAAUUCUUUCUCCGGAGACGAUAAUGACGGUACCCGGAGAAGAAGCCCCGGCUAACUUCGUG
rnacentral:rRNA from 1 species